UACGGAGGGUGCAAGCGUUGUCCGGAUUCACUGGGUUUAAAGGGUGCGUAGGUGGGCUGGUAAGUCAGUGGUGAAAUCUCCAGGCUUAACUUGGAAACUGCCAUUGAUACUAUCAGUCUUGAAUACCGUGGAGGUCAGCGGAAUAUGUCAUGUAGCGGUGAAAUGCUUAGAUAUGACAUAGAACACCAAUUGCGAAGGCAGCUGGCUACACGAAUAUUGACACUGAUGCACGAAAGCGUGGGGAUCAAACAGG
rnacentral:rRNA from 1 species